UUCUGGUACUAUGUUAAACAACAGUGGUGACAGGGGGCAUCCUUAUCAUGUUCCAGAUCUUAGAGGAAAAGCUUUCCAUUUUUCCCCAUUCCAUAUGAUUCUAGCUGUGGGUGUCUUUCCUGUAGUUUUUAUUAUGUUGCGUGAAAGAAGAUUGCCACGGAGACAGAGAGCAGCAUGGUCAGUGUGGUAGGAGCCGGCCAUCAGCGAGAGCUGCUCCAUGCCUGGCUGCUGGGAGCUAGAGCCUGCGGCCCACUGGCUUGCCUCACUGUAGUUGGUGGUGGCAGUGACAGAGACUGCAGCAUGACCAGAGUGGCUUUUCUGGCUUUGCCCGCCCAGCUGCUCCAUGCCAGGAGGAGGAGGAGACACCUAGAGCCUGCAACACCACGGCUCACCUCGCUGCGGGUGGGUGGCAGUGACGGAGACUGCAGUGCGCCAGAGCGGUAGGAGAGUGGCCACGCUAGGAGGGCGGGCGGCUGCAGGCAGGGUUGGGAGUCAGGCUUACAGCGAUGGACGGGCUGCAGCAGUGGCCAGGUGGUAGGAGCCUUGUAGGGAGGGCUGGUGCAUUGGCAAUGGGCCUGGCUUUGCCCUGUGCCUGCCGUGGAUCUGGCCCUGUACUGCCCUGCCUUGCCCUGUACCUGCCCUACUGUUACCUGGACUCUCAGCCCUGUCCUGCUCUGGUCCCAUCCUGACCCUGUCUUGGCCCCGUGCUACCCUGUCCCUGCCCUGGUCUUGCCCUGGCACUGGCCCUGCCCUGAACCUGCACUGGCCUGACCUUGGCUCUGGCCCUGGCUCUGGCCCUGCCCCUUGUCCUGACCCUGGUCCUGUCAUGGCACUGGCCCUGCCAGUGGUCAUGGUCCUGCUCCUGUUCUGGCCCUGACCUGGCCUUGGAAAUGUCCUGGCUCUGCUUUGGCCCAUCCCUGCCCUGGCCCCACCAUGGGCCUUCCUGUUCUGCCCUCUCCUGGCACUGACCUGGCCCUGUCAUGGCCCAGUGGUGCCAUUGCCCUGCCUUACCCUGCGCUGGUUGUGCCUUGGCCCCGCUUGGUGCUGGCCGCUUCCUGGACCUGCCCUGGACCUGCCCUGACCCUGCCUUGGCUUUUGCCCUGCCCUCACUAUGGCCUGGCCCUGGCCCUGGCCCUAGCCCUGGUCCUGCCAUAUCCCUGACCCUGCCCUUAUCCAGGCCCUGCCCCUGCUGCUGCCCUGGCCCUGGCCUGGAACCUGGUCCUGUCAAGGACCUGCCCUGACUCUGCCAUGGCCCUGGCCCUGCUCUGCCUUGUUCCUGGCCCUGACCCAGACCCAGACCCUUUCCUGGCUCUGCACUGGUCUUUCCCUGGCCCUGAGCUGGCAGUGGUCUGCCCCUGGUCUUGCCAUCACCCUGCCCUGCUGUGCUCUGGAUGUGUCAUCACCCUGCCCUGGCUCUACUCUGCCUUUGACCCUGCCCUGGCCUUGCCUUGGCCCUCACCCUAGUCUUCGCUAGGCCCAGCACAGACCUGGCUCUGACCCUGGCCCUGGUCUUUGUCCUGCCAUAGCUUUGGCCCUGAAGUGGACUUGGAGGUGUCCUGGCCCCGGUGUAACAUGGCUCUGCAUUGGCCUGUCUCUGCCCUGCCCCUACCAUCGCCUUGCCCUGCUCUGCCCUGUCCCAGUACUGACCCGGCCACGCUAUUUCCCCGCCCUACCCUGCCUUGGCUGUGCCCUGGCUCGGUUCUGGCCCUGGCCCCGGCCCUGCCCUGGACAUGCUCUGACACUGCCUCAGCCUUGGCACUAGCCUGGCUCAUUCUUGGCAUCAGCCCUGCUCUCUCUGUGGACCGGCUCUUGUCCUGUCCUGCACUGGCCAUACCAUGCCUUGCCCUGCCCUGCCCUGACUCAGCCCUGACUCAGCCUUGGCCUUGGCAUUGCCCCUGGUCCUGCCAUAUUUCUUGCCCUGUCCCUACCCUAGCCUUGGCCCUGACCCUUACCUUGCUCUGGCCCUGCCCUUGCCCUAAUGCAGCCCCUGGCCCUGUCAUGACCCUGCCCUGGACCUGUCCUGGCCCUGGCCCUUCCCUGCUUGAGACCUUGCCCUGGUUCUCCCAUGGCCCUGACCCUGAAAUGCCUGGCCCUACCCUGGCCUUGCCCUGCUCUGGCCCUUGCCCUGACUCUGGUCCUGUCACUGACCUAGCCCCAGCCCUGUUGCUGGUCUUACCAUGGCCCAGACCCUGCCUUGGCCCUGCCCUGACACUGUCCUGGACCCUGGCUGUGCCAAGAACCUGCACUGUCCUUGCCCUUGUUUUGCUCCUGCCCCAAACCUGGUCCU
rnacentral:lncRNA from 1 species